CUCAAAGAUUAAGCCAUGCAAGUGGUUACCCACACCCAUUAGUUUAAAUAAGUACGAAUUAUUAUUAUAUUACUUAUGCAACUGCAGAUAGCUGCUUAAUACAGUUACACUUGUCUUGACUAUACUACUAUUAAUAUGUUUCUACGGAUAACUCAGGGAAAGUUUGGCUAAUACGUACGAUUAUACAACGCAUACGGUGGUUCAUUACAUGAAAGACACUCGUACACGUAUAUAUUUUUAAUAUAUACACGGCUAAUUUUAUAUUUUACAAUAUGAAAUAUGUCAUACAAGCAUCUAUAGCAUCAAGUCACAGGGUUGGCAAGUGUAUUUUUGAACCUUCAAAGCAGUCACGCAUACGGAAGAGUAGUUUCUGAUCCCAUAGAAGGAGCACUGUACAUUGAGAGACCGCUCUUAGUUCUAAGGAACGCAGCAGGCGCGUAAAUUGCCCAAUAAUAGUACAUACACACUACGAAUAUUAUAUAGUCUCUUUUCUAUUGAGGCAGUGACAAGCUGUAACGGUUGAGUAUUAUUCUAUUAUGACGAGUAUCUGGCACUGUAUUAUGUAUUUAUUUACAUAUUAUACGUAUAGCCGAUACUAUGUGUGCUCAGUUGGAAUGCGGUGAGUUUAAAUAACUCAGAAUCUACUAUCUAUAUAGUGUAUCUGAAUUUUCAAGUGGAGGGCAAGUCUGGUGCCAGCAGCCGCGGUAAUACCAGCUCCACUGGCCUAUACAAUCAUUGUUGCGGUUAAGAGGCUCGUAGUUGGAUUGAACAUUCUUUCAAUAUAUUAUAUAUGACACUUACUACUAUGUAUAUAUAUAUUGUACUCCUUCAACGCUGUGAAUAAAUCAGAGUGUACCAAACAUGUCUGUUACGUGCAUUGAAUGAUUCAUCAUGGAAUGUUGCUAUUGCUAUUUUAUAUACUACUACUUAUAUAUGUGUCGAUGGGGAUAGUUGGAGUCAACAGUACUAGUAGGCGAGCGGUGAAAUGCAUUGACCCUACUAAGACUACCAAAAGCGAAAGCAGUUGUCUAGGCUAUAUUCUUUAUAUUAUUAUUAAUAAUAUCUAUACACUUUACAAUGAAGAACGAAGGUUGGGGGAUCAAAGUGGAUCAGAUACCCACGUCGUCCCAUUUUAUACAUCAAACGAUGGGCUCUCAUUCGAGUUUAUAACCAACUAAUACUAUAUAUGGCUUGAGCACUUUUAUUAGUGUUCGCUAAUAUAAUAAAUAUUAUACGGUAUCUACGCGUCAGUAACAUGACGUAUGAUUUUCUAAGCUUUGCGCUCAAUUAUAUACUGGUGAGAUGUAAGUAUCUAUAUAUAAUUUAUACGUACUGCGUAUAUUAUUAUAUUAUACUAUGAUAUGAUGCACGUAUUAGGCAUGCGCUUACUGCAGAAAUGUCUGAGAUAUUCCCCUCCGGGGGUAGUAUGCACGCAAGUGUGAAACUUGAAGGAAUUGACGGAAGGGCACCACAAGAACGCGUGGAGCAUGUGGCUUAAUUUGACUCAACGCGGGAAAUCUUACCGGGUCCGGACACACUGAGGAUUGACAGACAUUUAUAUACGUAAUAGUAUAUAUUUAAAGAUGCUAGUUCUUUCAUGAUUAUGUGAUAGGUGGUGCAUGGCCGUUCUUAGUUCGUGGAGUGAUCUGUCUGCUUAAUUGCGUUUCAUAUUAUUAUAUAAUAUACACACAUUACGUGUGUUAUAUUAUUACUUUGAAAGCAACGAACGUGACCGUAGCCUUUUAUUAUAUACGCUACACGUAUAUUAAUUAAAGGGACCGCUGUAUCUUUCUUUAAACCAGAGUAAGGUUACGGCAAUAACAGGUCUGUGAUGCCCUUCGAUGUUCCGGGCUGCACACGUGCUACAAUGAUUAUUUCAUUAAGUAUCUACUGUGCAAUAAUAUAUUAUUAUUAUUCAAAACCUACUCUGAGAAUGAGCGGGUAAUCAAUUAGAAGUAAUGAUUUCCAAAUUUAUACACUCAUGUACCGUAUAUAUUAUCCCAUAUUUUAAUUAAUAUGCGUGUAUAAUAUUGUACGCUGUACGUAUAUUUAUUAAUUCAUGGUGGGGAUAGACUAUUGUUAAUUGUUGGUCUCGGUCUUAACUAGGAAUGCCUUGUACGGGUCAUUGGUUCAACAGACCACCCGGAAUACGCCCCUGCCCUUUGUACACACCGCCCGUCGCUCUUACCGAUGAACUUCGCUAUGAAUCUAUUGGACUGUACCAUUGUGGUAUGGAAAGAUAUAUGAAUAGUGUGGUUUAAAGGAAAGAGAAGUCGUAACAAGGCAUCAGUAGGUGAACCUGCAGAUGGAUCAUUA
rnacentral:rRNA from 1 species